CAGUAGCCGCGGGAAUACGAAGGUCCCGAGCGUUGUUCGGAAUCACUGGGCGUAAAGGGAGCGUAGGCGGCGUGGUAAGUCAAAUGUGAAAUCCCGGGGCUCAACCCCGGAACUGCAUCCGAUACUGCCGUGCUAGAGGAUUGGAGAGGUAGCUGGAAUUCUUGGUGUAGCAGUGAAAUGCGUGGAGAUCAAGAGGAACACUCGUGGCGAAGGCGAGCUACUGGACAAUAUCUGACGCUGAGGCUCGAAGGCCAGGGUAGCGAAAGGGAUUAGAUACCCCAGUAGUCCCUGUCUCUUAUAC
rnacentral:rRNA from 1 species